GGAAAGUUGUCAGAGUGGCUUAUUGUGAUUGGUUGCUAACCAAUUGGUGCGAUUACGCAUCCACAGGUUCGAAUCCUGUACUUUCCUCCA
rnacentral:tRNA from 1 species